CAUUAAGAUUUUUUCUACACUGCUUCCUCCGGCUUGGCACAGCCUCACUAUUCAUUUUCCCAGCUGCUCAACUCCUCUUCCAAUUUCCUUUGUCUCUCUUCCUGCACAGUUUAUUCGCAUUCGUUGUACAGUUAUAAGGAAAGUUGGAUGAAAGGCAGACUCUAGAAAAAGCUUGUUGGAUUUUUUGAAGAAGUUGGGGACCUUCCAUUCUAUGCGAGGCAGAGGUUGCCACUGUAGUUUUUUGCAUUAGGGACACAACAAUGAUGUUGAGAUUGUAUGGUCUCGUGGAUGAAGUAUUCACAUUUUAAAUGAGAAAGUAUCAUCGACUAUAUUAUUAUUUCUGUUGGAAGUUCAAUUUGUGGAACAAAAUAUUUAUGGGUGAAUUGCGUUAGAUGCAGAGAAUUUGCAUGAAGAGAUUGUAACAUAGAGCAUGCUUGCCAAUUAUAGUUUUAACAUAAAAUUUCUUCAGGUGACAAUACACAAUAGUUUUAUUGUAGACUACAAAAAAAAAAAAAAUUACAGUACAGGGAACACAUCUUAUCUUGUCAUUGUGUAGAUUGUAUAUAUGUAAAAAGAUUACUCUGUGUCAUUUUGCAAGCACACAACACCCGUUGA